ACACUUUCAAUGAAAAACUUACUUCCAUAAGUUUUUUUUAGACUUGAGAUAUCUGCUACUGUUUUUUUCUAGUGGGUGCUAUAAAAUAAGCAAUUAAUGAACAGCUAUUUAGAAGAACCCUCCCCCCAAAUGUGGAAAGAGAUGCUCAUAUAGUUGGACAACUCUUUUUUGCAGAGAUGUAUGGGCCUCACAGUGAUUACUUAUUGUGUUUUAUAAUGUAUAAACCUGAUAUUACUUAGUAAGGUAACCUUAGUGAAGGGGAGACAUGUGUGCUAGAUCAUAGCUUGGAUAAGGGUUUGAAGUGAAUCCUUUCUUCAGGGUACUUUGAACCAAAGCUGUGACUUCAGGAGCUGCCCCUUGAGGGUGCUCCACCCACGUGGAGCACUUCUCAGGAGCUGUUUGUAGAAUUUCUAGGUGGAGGACGUGGCCUGGUCUAAACAUAGGCAUCUUUUCAUUUUAGGAACAAAUCCAAACAGUAGGAACUGAAUAAUCCAGGUCCAGCAAAUAGUGGCUGAAGAAACUGCAUUGGGGUCCAGCCUUGGUGAUGUGAGUUGGGAGGCUCAGGAAGAGGCCACUGUUACUUCUGGGGCAUCUAGCCAGAGAAGGAAGCUUUAAUUCUGCAGGUCUCAUUCACCCCCAACCCUCCAGAGAGACAGAGCAUGAGCCGGAGAGGGGAAGAGAGAGAGGGAGACAC